UACGGAGGGUGCGAGCGUUGUCCGGAAUCAUUGGGCGUAAAGGGCGCGUAGGUGGCCCGGUCAGUCUUUGGUGAAAGCGCGGGGCUCAACCCUGCGUCGGCCAGGGAUACUGCCGCGGCUCGAGCACUGUAGAGGCAGGCGGAAUUCCGGGGUGUAGCGGUGGAAUGCGUAGAGAUCCGGAAAGAACACCGGUGGCGAAGGCGGCCUGCUGGGCAGUUUAGCUGACACUGAGGCGCGACACGUGGGGGAGCAAACAGG
rnacentral:rRNA from 1 species